rnacentral:rRNA from 1 species
UACGUAGGGCGCAAGCGUUGUCCGGAAUUAUUGGGCGUAAAGAGCUCGUAGGCGGUCUGUUACGUCUGCUGUGAAAACCCGGGGCUUAACCCUGGGCUUGCAGUGGAUACGGGUAGACUAGAGGCAGGUAGGGGAGAAUGGAAUUCCCGGUGUAGCGGUGAAAUGCGCAGAUAUCGGGAGGAACACCGGUGGCGAGGGCGGUUCUCUGGGCCUGACCUGACGCUGAGGAGCGAAAGCGUGGGGAGCGAACAGG